rnacentral:rRNA from 1 species
AGGAUGAACGCUGGCGGCGUGCCUAACACAUGCAAGUCGAACGUCCUGUCUCGCAAGAGGCAGGGAGUGGCGGACGGGUGAGUACCACGUGGGUCAUCUACCGUGAGGUGAGGAAUACCGGCGAGAAAUCGCCGACAAGACCGCAUAGGCUCGAUGCAAGUCGAGCAAAGCUCUUUCGAGAGAGGGAGCGCCACACGAGGAGCCUGCGCCCGAUUAGCUAGCUGGUGGAGUAACGGUUCACCAAGGCGACGAUCGGUAGCUGGCCUGAGAGGACGAUCAGCCACACUGGGAUUGAGAACGGCCCAGACUCCUACGGGGGGCAGCAGUGAGGAAUUUUCCGCAAUGGGCGCAAGCCUGACGGAGCAACGCCGCGUGCAGGAAGACGGUUUUCGGAUCGUAAACUGCUUUUCUCGGGGACGAGAACGGACGGUACCCGAGGAAUCAGCCCCGGCUAACUACGUGCCAGCAGCCGC